AUGAGUUUCAUCCCAGUUCGUGUCCCCAGCAUGUCCUUGUCCCCAUCCCAGUUCCUGUCCCCAUCCCAGUCUGGUUCCUGUCCCCAUCCCAGUUUGGGGGGGGGGGGGGGGGGGGGGGGGGGGGGGGGGGGGGGGGGGGGGGGGGGGGGGGGGGGGGGGGGGGGGGGGGGGGGGGGGGGGGGGGGGGGGGGGGGGGGGGGGGCCCCUGCGGCUGCUGCUGGCGGCGCAUGCGCGGCCCGGGGCCGGCGAGUGACACCUGGGCACACCUGGGCACACCUGGGCACACCUGGGCACACCUGGGGACACCUGGGGACACCGGGCGGCAGUUUGGGGACAAUCCAGGGUCUUGUCCCCGUCCCGGUUCUUGUCCCUGUCCCGGUUCUUGUCGCUGUUGUGUCCCCACAGCGCGGCCACGCCCCCGCGGCUGCUGCUGGGGACAGCUUGGGGACAGUUCGGGGACAGCCUGGUGUCCCCCACAUGGUGUUGUCCCCAUCCCAGUUUGUGUCCCCAUCGUGUCCCCAAUCCCAGUUUGUGUCCCCAGUCCCAGUUCGAAUCCCUGUCCCAGUUUGUGUCCCCAUUCCAGGUCCAUGUCCCCAUCUUGUCCCCGUCCCAGUCCUGGAUUUUGUCCCCGUUGUGUCCCCAAUCCCAGUUUGAGUCCCCUGUCCCAGUUUGUGUCCCCAGUCCGUUUGAAUCCCUGUCCCAGUUUGUGUCCCCAAUACCAGUUUGAGUCCCCAAUCCCAGUUUGAGUCCCUGUCCCAGUUUGUGUCCCCAAUCCCAGUUUGUGUCCCCAAUCCCAGUUUGAGUCCCUGUCCCAGUUUGUGUCCCCAAUCCCAGUUUGUGUCCCCAAUCCCAGUUUGAGUCCCUGUCCCAGUUUGUGUCCCCAAUCCCAGUUUGUGUCCCCAAUCCCAGUUUGAGUCCCUGUCCCAGUUUGUGUCCCCAAUCCCAGUUUGUGUCCCCAAUCCCAGUUUGAGUCCCUGUCCCAGUUUGAGUCCCCAAUCCCAGUUUGAGUCCCUGUCCCCCUCGUGUCCCCGUCCCAACGCUGGUUCAUGUCCCCUCGGUGUCCCCUGAACCCCCCAAUGUCCCCUCAAUGUCCCCAAGCCUCCAGUGCCACCUCCCUGUGCCCCCCAAUGUCCCCAAGUGUCACCUCCAUGUCCCCUGUGCCCCCCCCAGUGUCACCCUCCCAAUGUCCCCAAGUGUCCCCACCCCACAGGGGGGAUCCCAGUGGUGACAGGGGGGGGGGGGGGGGGGGGGGGGGGGGGGGGGGGGGGGGGGGGGGGGGGGGGGGGGGGGGGGGGGG
rnacentral:lncRNA from 12 species